rnacentral:rRNA from 1 species
CAGCAGCCGCGGGAAUACGUAGGUGGCAAGCGUUGUCCGGAAUUAUUGGGCGUAAAGGGCUCGCAGGCGGUUUCUUAAGUCUGAUGUGAAAGCCCCCGGCUCAACCGGGGAGGGUCAUUGGAAACUGGGAAACUCGAGUGCAGAAGAGGAGAGUGGAAUUCCACGUGUAGCGGUGAAUGCGUAGAGAUGUGGAGGAACACCAGUGGCGAAGGCGACUCUCUGGUCUGUAACUGACGCUGAGGAGCGAAAGCGUGGGGAGCGAACAGGAUUAGAUACCCCAGUAGUCCCUGUCUCUUAUACA